rnacentral:rRNA from 1 species
UACGAAGGGGGCUAGCGUUGCUCGGAAUCACUGGGCGUAAAGGGCGCGUAGGCGGCGCAACAAGUCACUUGUGAAAUCUCCGGGCUUAACCUGGGAAUUGCGUCCGAAACUAUGGAGCUGGAGUGUGGCAGAGGGAGGUGGAAUUCCACGUGUAGCGGUGAAAUGCGUAGAGAUGUGGAGGAACACCGAUUGCGAAGGCAGCUCGCUGGAACGUUACUGACGCUGAAGACGCGAAAAGCGUGGGGGAGCAAA